rnacentral:lncRNA from 1 species
AAACAAUAAAUAUAGCUUAAGAAAGCAACAUUGGAAUCUACACAAUAUAACCAUCACAACAAAAUCCAGGAGAAACUUCCAAGAGUCUCCAAUUCAUCUCUCUAGUGAAUUUGAACCUCUGAAGUGGAGCACCUUUAGCAACCUGAUGGACAUUAGCUGAGAGAUUGAUCAAAACCAAGCAAUGAAAUCACUGGAUCUUCGCACUCCCUGCUUAGCCAUAUAAUCUGCCAGACUAUUACUCUCAC